rnacentral:rRNA from 1 species
AUUGAACGCUGGCGGCAGGCCUAACACAUGCAAGUCGAACGGUAACAGGAAGCAGCUUGCUGCUUUGCUGACGAGUGGCGGACGGGUGAGUAAUGUCUGGGAAACUGCCUGAUGGAGGGGGAUAACUACUGGAAACGGUAGCUAAUACCGCAUAACGUCGCAAGACCAAAGAGGGGGACCUUCGGGCCUCUUGCCAUCGGAUGUGCCCAGAUGGGAUUAGCUAGUAGGUGGGGUAACGGCUCACCUAGGCGACGAUCCCUAGCUGGUCUGAGAGGAUGACCAGCCACACUGGAACUGAGACACGAUCCAGACUCCUACGGGAGGCAGCAGUGGGGAAUAUUGCACAAUGGGCGCAAGCCUGGUGCAGCCAUGCCGCGUGUAUGAAGAAGGCCUUCGGGUUGUAAAGUACUUUCAGCGGGGAGGAAGGGAGUAAAGUUAAUACCUUUGCUCAUUGACGUUACCCGCAGAAGAAGCACCGGCUAACUCCGUG